rnacentral:rRNA from 1 species
UACGUAGGGUGCAAGCGUUUGUCCGGAAUUAUUGGGCGUAAAGAGCUCGUAGGCGGCGUGUCGCGUCGGAUGUGAAAGCCCUUGGCUCAACUGAGGAAGUGCAUCCGAAACUGGCAGGCUAGAGUACUAAAGAGGAUCGCGGAAUUCCCGGUGUAGAGGUGAAAUUCGUAGAUAUCGGGAGGAACACCGGUGGCGAAGGCGGCGAUCUGGGUAGAUACUGACGCUGAGGUGCGAAAGCGUGGGGAGCAAACAGG